rnacentral:rRNA from 1 species
UACGUAGGGUGCAAGCGUUGUCCGGAAUUAUUGGGCGUAAAGAGCUCGUAGGCGGUUCGUCGCGUCGGCUGUGAAAACCCGGAGCUCAACUCCGGGCCUGCAGUCGAUACGGGCGGACUUGAGUGUUGCAGGGGAGACUGGAAUUCCUGGUGUAGCGGUGAAAUGCGCAGAUAUCAGGAGGAACACCGGUGGCGAAGGCGGGUCUCUGGGCCUGUACUGACGCUGAGGAGCGAAAGCGUGGGGAGCGAACAGG